AAAAAGAAAAAAAAUUUUUAAAAAAAAAGGAAAAAAAAGAAAAAAACAACAGAUUAGCAUCAAUAUGAGUCUAUGUCAACCAGAUGGCUUGCUGUGGAAAAAGAACUUCUCUGCUUUAUUCCAGUAACCCUGGCUAGCGGGCUGAAUGUCUGAGAUGAGAAGAGAAAAAUGAUCUCAUUCGGGACUUUUUUUUUUCCCUUUCCAUACAUGCAGCUUGAGCUGAAGAAGAGAAAAGCUCUGAAAAGAGCACAGAAGUUCUCCCUUAGCGGUGACGUGUGAGACCCUGUGGACCACAGAGAGCUCAUGGACACAGUUCAAAAAUGCAGAAUGCGCAGCAUGAAAGCACUGCAUCACAGGUGGAUAGGAGGGAGCCUUGGGGACAUCACCUUGAGAUGGUGAUGUGCUGUUCUUUUGGCUUUUCCCUCUCUCAUGUAACCCCUGACAGACCUGGAAUAGAGUUCAUCUCCCCAGGCCCUAGUUCAUAGAAUUGUAGCACCAUAGAAUGGCUUGGAUGGGAAGAGACCUCAAAGAUUGCUUAGUUUCAACUCCCUGCUGUGAGCAGAGUUGGCAGCCUCUAAAUCAGGCACUAAGUCAGACUGUCCAGGGCUCCAUCCCAGCUGUCCUUGAAUACCCUUUGGUGCAGAUGGGAUAUCUGCUGUGGUCAGGCACAUCAGCCCCAACCUGCCAAUGGACAUAGCAAUGGAGCAAACAGGCAGUUCGUGUGGAGGCAGCUACAUGAGCUGUUGCCUCGCCCUGGUCACCCUGCCUCAUUUUACACAUGUAAUUGAAUGCUUUGCUAGCUCAGUUCUCUCCAGAGUCACUGUAGACAGCAGAAGUGUAUCUUCAUUUGAGUGCUGACAAGGGCCCUGGUGGUGCCUCAUUCCACUGAUCAUGGGAAGAAAAAUCUCACUGUAAUAAGAUUCUGAACUUGACCUGGAGUCAGGCAGGAUGAGCCCAAGCUCAGCUACCUGUCUUCAGGGCAGUGAAUGCCCUCCCAUCUUGGGGCAGGUCAGGAUGCCCUCACCAGCUGCCUAUCUGGGUCACACGUCACUUUCCCUGGAGCCGCUGCAGGUUGACAGCUGGGGAAGGGUCCUGGAAGCAGCAACUCGAAGAAGGCCAAGUGUACUUAUUUGUACAGACUUUUGAGACCCAGUACUAGAUUUAUUGCUGUGGCUCACUACUAAACGUCAAGAAAACUCUAGUGCGGUGGUUUCUAAGUUGGGCCAUGUCAUUGGACGCUGCUUUGCACAGCAGGAAAUUUGGCUUGGGAUGCCUGGAUUCCAGUGAGGGAAAAAAAGUGCAUUUUAGUGAGGUUGUGAUGAGAGCAAUCCUGCAGGGAGAUCGUAAAAGUAAUUGGAGUGACUUGACCUGUCUUAUCCGUAACAGCUGAUAGAUGUGAGUGUGAACCAAGGAAUGGGAGAUGAGAGUCCUCUUUCUCAAUGGAGAAGGUGUGAUGUUGUUUGACAAGGCCUGCUUCAAGGCGUCAUUCACAGGGCAAGAGCUGAAUCGUUAUUUUUUCGUUUUCUUUGUUUUAAUUCUGUGCCCAGUGAAAAUUUCUCACAGUAAGAAGGGAGGAGGAUGUUUAACUUUGAUUGGGCCCAUGAUAGAAUUAACGUGCACGCAAUAUCCAGUCCUUGAUUCUUUGCUUGUCUUUGGCAGUGAAUGAAUGUCUGUCAGUGCAAAUGUCUACAAAAUUACUAUUUUAAUGACCUGUUUGCUUCAAUUAAGGCCUGGCUAUUAUCUUUCCAAGAAGCGAAGGAUUGGGGAGGGGGAGAUGAAGCGAGAGAAAAGAGUUGAUCACUGGGACGCGUGAGCAGAACAUUUAAGGGGCCAGCUGAAACCGAGAGUAGAUUUGGAAAGGCUGUAUGAUGAAUCUGUGACAUUGCAAUAUUUCAAUCAUCACAUUUCAGAUUCUGGUUCAUGCAUCAUUUGCUAUGAAAGUUUUGAGAUUUUAAUCAGUGUUUCAAGAGUAAAUUGAUACAGCCUAAUCAUUUAAAAUCUCUGGCACGAGACCAAAGUGUAUUAUGUUAAGUGUAUGUUAUGUAUUAUAAAAGCUGCUUGCUGAAAAUUAAUUGAGUAUUCCCGUGCUAGAUAAUGUUUCUCCGUUCCCCAGAGCCCAUCCCUUUGCGUGCGAGUGUUUUCCCAAGUGCAAUGCAGAUGCCAGACAAAAGGUGAAUAUAUAACAUAUGUAAAAGACUGGCUCAGCACAGUAUCAGGCCUGCUAACCUCCUUGGCUAGAUUGUAUGGCUGUUUAUUUGUCUGCAAGAUGUGUAGGAGGAAAACUCCCGGGUACGAAAUAAAAAAAGUAUUUUCCAUAGAAGUGAAGCAUGAGAGAGCCUGUGCCGUGACUCUAAUUCAUAUAAAAAGUUGGAAAAGUGUUUGCUUUUCUCCUCAUGCCUUAUGUGGACUUGGCAGAACAAGCCACCCAAGUAAAUGACACAGAUAGCAGCCAGUGAGUCUAGGUAAUGAAUGCGCUGUCAUACUGUGUACUCAGAGGCUUGGGAACUUCCCAUAUUCUUGUCCUUCUUUUUGUACCUGUGGCAAUGCUGACAAAAUGGAUGUGUAUGGAGAUGAGGGAUUGGGUACACCUCUGAUGUGUCAGUGGAUAGUCCCCAGCAUUAUUGGUGCUCUAUGCUGACAUUUCUGAUGCAAACCAUUUCUAUCUGGAGGGGUUGGUUUCCCAGGGAAAAUUGGGCCUCUUUUGCUAAGAGGUUUUGGAGCCUACCCUACCUCCCUAGUGCACAGGCAAUAGGUUAAAAUGCUUUUGGCUUAAGUUCAAAUACCCCUGCUCCCUGACUCAGGGUUAUGAACAGAGGCUCUCCAGCUGAAUAUCCCUAGUGUUAAGGCAUUUUCCUCAGAACUCUGGCUGAAGCUGUUCCAGUUCAUAUGUGUUUUUUAGCCAUUCUUAAUGUCUAGCAUAUGAAGAUGUGUACCCACUGCCUGUCUCAAGUCAUUCUCACACUUGCUUCCUCUUGACCACACUGAAAUGAUUUUGAUGAAGUGGAACAUGGACAUUCAGAGCAUGUAUCUACCCUCUUGAAAUGGGUGGAUCAAAGCUUUGAAGUCCAUUAAUGCUAAUGGAUCUUGAUCCAGCUUGCAGAUACCUGCCUUCCUCCUAUUUAUUAAAUAGUCUCUUGGUGAAUAUCAUACCAGCAAACCAACUUUUGAGGGCUCUUUCCUCAUUGAAAAGGCUGCUGCUGUGUCACAGUGUUAUAUCCCAUCAUCUUUAUAUUAGCUGCCAAAGUGAAAGGCUCUAGACUUAUUUAAAUAAAAAAAAAGUAAUAAAACCUCCUCUUUUUUCAUUUUGGGGCUCAAAGCAAAAGCUCUGAAUGCUUCUGUUUACCAUUUUUAUUACACAAUAUUGGCAUUCGUAAACUCUGGAAUGAAACCUUUCUUUUUUUUUCUUUUUUUCCAUUAAAGAGCUCAGUAUCAAUGUUUCCUACUUUCCAUGUAUUAUGACAAAACAUUAAGCCCAGAAUAUCUGUUGCCAUUGCUAAAGCACUGUGUUCUUGUGCGACUGGAAAUCCAUUCUUUUCAUUGCUCCCUUUUGUACACCCUCCAUAAAGCCAACUGGCUUCAGCUGUUGACAGAUAAUAGUGAGAACAAGAAGAGGUGUUAAAAAAAACUGCCAGGAAAGUCUCCAAGCAGAGCUCAUCGUGAGCAGACCUCUCUCAUUAGCUACCCCAGGAGAAAGCUCUGGUCAAGACAACGUGCCUCCGUCUCAGAUGCCUGUGCUGUCCUGUGAGACUCCUCGUUCUUCUGGGCUCUGCUGGUUCAUUGAGUCCAGCUCUGUCUGAUAGAGCUGCUGCUUUGCUUCUGAUUCCUGUUGUUCCAGGUUGGACGGGGUCCUGGGCAACCUGAUCUAAAUGUGUAUGUUUGGUGGCCCUGUUAGGCAGGGGGGUUGGAACUACAUGAUCCUUGAGGUCCCUUCCAACCCGGGUGAUUCUGUGAUUCUGUGAUUCUGUGAUUCUGUGAUUCUGUGAUUCUGUUGCUUGCCACACUGUGAGUUCUAUGCACCACGCAGCAGAAGAAGCAAUGACAAAUCUAGAGCUACAGUGUGAAACUAUGUUAGAAUUUGCUUAUGGGAAAUGGAGGAAGAUGAGCAUAGUGUAACACGGCCAGGCAUGUGAGGUGGCUUGAAGAAAUGUAUCAGACCAAGAGAAUAAGAAGGCAAAAUCCUGAGAAUUAUGUUCUGACUGUGACUUGGCAGACUAGAGGUGAUGCUACAGAAGCACUGUGUGUAUGCAUUCUUAUAUUCCUUCGCCCACUUUGUAUCUGUAUUGACUCAUCUGCUUCCACUCCCCCAGGAAGCCAACAGCAGUUUCAUGACAUCCCUUGGAGAUUCCAGCAGUGUAGAAUAAAGAACACUCUCAAAAACUCAGUGAAGGUCACUUGUGAUUUUGAAGCAAGACAGUUGCAGAUCUCAUUGCUGCUGUGUGGAUCCGUCAGGCUAAGCAUAGCUUUUCACUGGCAUCAGCAAUCAUGAGAUUUGCCCCAGGAACCUGCUGCACACCCAGGUCAGCAAAGCCACUGCUUCUGCCAGCACUAAACAGAGACUGCAAAGUCCUGCCUGCUCUAAAAUUAAAGCUCUGAAUUCAGCAGAGCACGUGGAUGUUACCUCGAAGUGAAAGUGUUGGAAUUUCUGGAACUUGAGGUCUUGCUUGAAGUAUCUACUGAUAGAUAACAUCUAUUUCAAAGCAAAAAUUCACUCAACCCUACCUGAAUGGGCUUCUCGGUCAUGGGGAUCAUGACCUCUUAGGAGGUAAGCCCCACACCAAGUCCAAUUAGCUAAUCUUGGUUCAUGGUUAGCAGUGGGGACGGGGACUCGAUAUUUAUAUCCUGUUUCUCCAACUUCAUGGAAAGAAGUUCUAGUAAAAUAAAA